UGCACCUUCUUUCCUUUCAGCCUCAAGAUCUGCUCUUGCCACAUCUUUAAUGACAUCAUCAAUGCUCUCAGUGAGCUAGUUUGGAAGCCGAUAUGUUAGAAAUCCAAGCCAGCACACAACAGUGUUCUCUUUUCUUCUAGGCAAGCUCCCUGAACCAGCUCACCAUGACAUCACACAAAUCAUAGUGUAAGCAGAGGGAGUUCAGUGUGAAGCCUGGGAAAGGGAAAAGGAACAAAUUUUAAACCCAAGGAGUUUUUUUCUUCCACUGAUCUUCCUUGCAUAACAAAAAGAAAAUAUCGAAAAUCUCACAAAAAGAACAAGCAGUAUGGUAUACUCAGAACUCCAGACACGAUGGCCUUACUUCCCACAUAUGGUCAAUACUGGAAACAAGAAAUAAGGCAAAGGACGACAUCGAAAGUAAUUCAUCAGGGAUAGAUGCAAUCUGGAAUUCCUUGUCACAUUCAUCAGUAGAGUUCCAGCAGGAACUUAGCUUCACAGAGGCUGUUCAGAUUGCUCUGAAUAAAGCUAAAUGUGUUCCAAACUA